GCAUAAAAGACGGUACAACAAAUGUCUCAAAUAAAUCCAAAUGAAAAUCAGUUCUUAAACAUAAUCUAAAUGUUCCAAUAGCCUCAACUACAACCCUUUUGUCAUCACGCACAAAGAUGAAUCUUCAAUGAACUUCCUUGCACUUUGACCCUCACAGAUAGAGCCUCGAAACGUAUCUAAAAUAGAGUGUUUCAUGAUCAUCAGACACAUUCGGUUAGAGCGUUCUCACUUCUCAACUUUAGCAUCAUCGAGAUUUUCCGCAGUAGAAAUGGAUUUCUCCACACGAAGUGUCAGAUCUAAAAACAUACAAUCGAUAAUAAUUUCUAUGGCUUCCUUCCAGACCUUAAAGUUUGUCUCAUUCAGCAAUGAGAUGUUAUUAAUUUGAGGAGAAAUAUUUGUAGCAUUGGUAAAAGACACUGAAUACACAGAACAAAGAAUUAAUAACAUGUUCACAUUUAAAUAAACAAGUCACGUAAUAUAUAUAAAACAAGACAUGCUCACAUAAUAGACUCAUCACAAGAUACCUAGCACAACAUCGAUUUCUAGUAUUUGGAUAGAGAAAUUAAUUUGAAAGUGCUACUCUCAAUGUAAUGAUCAAAUAUUAACAAUUAGUUUUGUCAAACAAUAGUCUUUCUGUGGAUCAACUAUUAUUCACAUGAAAUUUUUUUAUAAUUGUUACGUAUUUAUCAUCUCAGGUAUGUUGUUAUUUAGCCAAAUUGUGUUUUCC
rnacentral:lncRNA from 1 species